UUCACAAAUCUCUUUCGUCCCUCACUGUUAAACCCUAGAUCUUCUUCUUCUUUCUCAAAAUCUUUCAAUGGCGUCCGCAUAUGUUGAGUUCCGGUGCUUCGUUGGAGGUCUAGCCUGGGCCACCGAUGACAGAGCUCUUGAGACAGCCUUCUCUCAAUACGGCGACGUUGUUGAUUCCAAGGUCUGUUACACGCCGAGAUCGGACUCCGAGUGAUCAUCCCCGACGGAUCUGUUCCGAUCUUGUGUUUGUCUGUUACUUGAUUCGGUUACUCUGUUACUAUUCGUUCGUUCUUUGUUACUACUACUGUUACUUGUUUUUUCUCUAAUCGGUACGUUCAUCAACGAUCCUGCCUUCUUUGCUUGUGUUUUAUCUCCAACUCGGUAUGAUUUGCUUCCCUAGUUACUUCAAGCGUUUACUUUGUUUGCUAAUUCGUAUGGGAUUUGAUUCCUAUGUGUUCCUUCUCUUUAGAGAGCUUGCAAUCCAGAUUGCUGAGCAGUUUGAAGCUCUAGGAGCUGAUAUAAGUCUUAGGUGUGCUGUGCUUGUUGGAGGUAUAGACAGGAUGCAACAAACUAUUGCUCUUGGGAAACGGCCUCAUGUUAUUGUUGCAACAGCUGGAACCUUUCUCUUGAUAGUGUUGUGGUUUUAAUCGAUCAAACUGUCUCUCUAUAAUAUUUUGGAGUGGAAGAUUUAAAGGAACAAUUUAUUAAGGUCACUGAAUUUGUUUUGUCCUUCUAGGUUCGUAAACUUCAAAGGGCAUGUUUGAGGAAUCCUGUGAAGAUUGAACUGCCUCCAAAUACUCCACAGUCGAUACUCUUAAGCAGCAGUAUCGGUUUGUUGCUGCUAAAUACAAGGUACCUUAACUACAUAACAAAACGUAGUAAACAGAUAAUAGGAAGACAAAGUCUUAUCAUUGUUGGAGAGAGUUCAAGAUGCAAAAAAGUUAUCCGCAAUGAAUAUGAAAGAAUCAGGAGGUAGGAAGAAGAGAAGGGGAGAAGAUGAUGAAGAGAGAGAGGUUCGUAGGAGGUAACAAGGACAGAGGUGAUGGCAAAGACAAGAAAUCUUCUAAGAAGUUCAAACGGUAAAAUGGCUCUGUUUCUAUUGUUUCCCGGCAACUCCACUCACCAAAAUUUUGAAUUCAAGUUUUGCAUAUGAACUUGGAUAAUUUAAUCAAUUUUUGUACUCGUAAUUUGUAUUUUCUUUUCUUUUUUGCACAUUAUUAUUAUACCAUCACAUUUACACUCUAAAUAUAGUUUGUGACUAUGCUCAGUUCGAGAUGAAUUGUACUUGGGGAUGUAAAGUUAUGGCUGAUUUGUCUAUUUUCAAAGUUA